UGGUAUUAUUUGUUCAUUUGAUCAUGUGCUCUGUUUUGCUUUUCAACAGGAUGCCGUAAGUCUGCUCCCACAACUGGAGGAGUGAGGAAGUCUCACCGUUACCGCCCUGGAACUGUUUGCUCUUCGUGAGAUCCGCAAAUACUAGAAGAGCACGGAGCUGCUCAUAAGGAAGCUUCCAUUCCAGAGGCUUGUUAGGGAGAUUGCCCAGGAUUUCAAGCAAGGUGCAAGACAAUAGGCAAGAAAAGAAUUCAAGAACCAGCCACUUUAUGCAGUAUCAUGGUUGUACAGGGAGGCAAGAACAAGGGACCAGAUUUGGGGCGAGAUUUCAAGUCAGGUUUCUGGGCGACUUGGGUACUGGAGGCAAGUAUGCAAGUAGUAGAGCAUGGGGUAGGUAACGUAUAAAGGGGGAGUUCAACUAGAUCGAGUAGAACUAUGGUCAAGAAUGGACCUGUUACCUUUGCUGUCUUUCACCAGGAGAAAUUUGCUCAGUUCUGGCAAAUUUUUUGCCCACUUUUUUUUUUUCAGAUUGUUGCUUGAUCAGCACAAAUAGUUGCAGACAACAUUGUCUUCUUCACGAAUUUCCCACGAUCUAUCUGACUUU